GACGAACGCUGGCGGCGUGCUUAACACAUGCAAGUCGAACGAAGUGGCGAACGGGUGAGUAACGCGUAAUCAACCUGCCCUUCAGUGGGGGACAACAGUUGGAAACGACUGCUAAUACCGCAUACUGAAGGGGGGGAUUGCGUCGGAUUAGCUAGUGGGAGGGGUAACCGCCCACCAAGGCGAUGAUCAGUAGCCGGGCUGGGAGGAUGAACAGCCACAUUGGGACGGAGACACGGCCCAGACUCCUACUGGAGGCAGCAGUGGGGAAUCUUCCGCAAUGGACGAAAGUCUGACGGAGCAACGCCGCGUGAGUGAUGACGGCCUUCGGGUUGUAAAGCUCUGUUAAUCGGGACGCGGUACCGGAAUAGAAAGCCACGGCUAACUACGUGCCAGCAGCCGCGGUAAUUC
rnacentral:rRNA from 1 species